ACAACAGCUCAUUACGGAAAAAAUACCAAGCAUCAGCGCUUCCGGGAUCAGAGCUCAGAACAAAAACCGGCCUCUACCAAUCCAAACUCAGAGAGAGAGAGAGAGAGAGAGUGUGUGUGGGUGGAGACAAACACUUUACUUACAAUGAUUGUGCUGUCGAGCUUGGUAUAUUUGAAGCCACAAAAUACUGCUCCGCAGGUUAUUAAAUACCGUUUGGGGUUGGGGCGGAGGGUUGUGCUGCUCACGUUAAAGAGCAUGGAAACGUGUAUUUAGUUCCUUUACUACAGGUAUAAUAGAUCAUAGAAUCUCUGUAUUGUCGGGACAGGCCGUUCGUCCCAACAAGUCCACACUGGAGUAUCCCACCCAAGCUAGACAUCCAUGAACACUACGGACAAUUGAGCAUAGCCAAUCCACCUCGCCUGCACAUCUUUGGACUGUGGGAGGAAACCGGAACACCCCGGAGAAAACAAACACAGGCAGAAUGUGCAAACUCCACACAGUCGCUCGAGGGUGGAAUCGAGUGCAGCAACGCCAACCACUGAACCACCGUGCCGCCCACAUUGUGUACCAACACACAUAAAACUUUCUUUCUUCCGAAUUGAAAAGAAAUGAAAAAAUUGUUAAAAUACCUACAGUUGCUCAAGCAAAUAGAAUUCAGGGGUGUAAGGCCAAAAAUGUUCAGCAGUCACACAAGGAAUUUACAGAUGGUGCACCUGAAACUCGUUCUUUUGGAUGCUGCCAGAGCUGUUGAGCUUUUCCAGAAACUUUGUCUUUGUUGUUGAGAACUUUUCCUGUUUUUUCUUCUACCUCCAACAACCUCCAUCUGAGGCACAAGGUCUUCCAAGAGGUGACGACAUAUCCAGAUGAAAGCAUUAAUUUUGAUGUAGUCUACUUGGACCUCAGCAAGACAUUUUAAGAGAUCCCAAUUGGAGACUAAGAAAAGUGAAAUGAAGAAAAGAAUAACAACCCUAGUCUGAAUCAAAUUAAGAGUCAAUACUAACCACGGUAGUACUCACUGAAUUGGGGACAGUUUCUUGCCAAGUGCUUUGCUGAUGACUUGCUUUCUGAGAACUGACAACACAGUGCACUAGUCAUAUUCUGAGACUCAUGAGGCACCUGGGACAAUGGCUUCACAGUGAAAUUCCAUCUUAGUUUACAUAUUAACAUGGAACUUGAACAUAUCAUCUUUAAAAUUUAAGGUAAAAUUAUGACUACUGAGCCAAGCUGAUGAGAAUAACAUUGACAAGAUUUGUUGAAUUUCUUUCUGUCAAGACAAUGUCAAAGAUUUGUGCAACAGCAUUUGGGAGAACAUUUGCAGAUAGUUUGUGGAGUUACUAUGUUACAUAUCCUCCUGUACCCUGAAAGUAUGUCCAUAAAUGAAAACCAUGACAGCAAAACUAGGACAAGACAAGUUGGGAAAAUGCCAUUAUGAAAGCCACUAUUGUGCCUGCUCCAAUAAUUGGUCCUUUGAAACUAAAACCAGAUGCCUUCCAAAGAAGGAGUCAGCUAAAACAUUUCAUAAUGGAAUAAGCCAUAUUUGCCAAAGACCUGUACCCAAAAUACCAUGUCAAGUAGUCUCUUGAAAAUGUCCUUGAAAGUGAACACAGAAUACUGGAGAAACUCAGUAGGUCUGGGAGCAU